CCUCCGGUUAGUUCCCACCCCCGGUGAUGCUUCGAUUUGUUUGCUUUUGCCUGCCCGCGCGUCAGGUGUUCGACGCAAUGCCUCGGAAGGGUUGGCGCCCUCCUUUUUAAUAGAAAUGCUGUAGUGGUCUGUAGCAACUUGAAUUAAUGGGAAUAAGUGAAGAAUUUCCUGGGAUCGUUCAAUUUUACUACUGAUUGUUUUAUUGAAAUGUAAGGCCUAAUUCAAAUCAGUUGAUGUUGCGUGAUGCUUUGAAUGUUGAAUAUAGAUAUGCCUGUAAUACACGUUGGAAGGACUCUCUAAAUGUGAUUCCCACGACCGAUGAUACUGCAAGCUGUUGUAACUGUUGCAGCUAUCUUGAUUUUGAGGCCCAGUUCGAUAAAAGUUUAAGCAGAUUUCAUUUAGGUACUGUUCGUAUGAUAGGUCUUUUGGCUAUACUUUAUGCUAUAUUUAGAUUUGGGAAAUGCAGCUAUCAAGACAUGCUUUACUAUUUUCAAGAAGUUUGUCUAGAAUGCAUUUUGCACUAUAUAUGAAAAAAUCUCUUAUAAAUUUUAGAUUGAUUUUAGCACCCUCGUUCCAAUACAAGAAGUUGUUACUCAUUCCGGAGCAGUAAUCUGUGAUGUCUUGACUUAAUAGGAAUAAGUGAAGAUUUCCUGUGAUCGUUCAAUUUUACGACUACUGAUUGUUUUGACAUU
rnacentral:lncRNA from 1 species